rnacentral:rRNA from 1 species
CCUACGGGGGGCAGCAGUGGGGGAUAUUGCACAAUGGGGGGAACCCUGAUGCAGCGACGCCGCGUGGGUGAAGGAGCGUUUCGGCUCGUAAAGCCCUAUCGGCAGGGAAGAAGAUGACGGUACCUGACCAAGAAGCCCCGGCUAACUACGUGCCAGCAGCCGCGGUAAUACGUCGGGGGCACGCGUUAUCCGGAUUUACUGGGUGGAAAGGGGGCGCAGACGGCAAUGCAAGCCAGGAGUGAAAGCCCGGGGCCCAACCCCGGGACUGCUCUUGGAACUGCAUGGCUGGAGUACAGGAGGGGCAGGCGGAAUUCCUAGUGUAGCGGUGAAAUGCGUAGAUAUUAGGAGGAACACCGGUGGCGAAGGCGGCCUGCUGGACUGUGACUGACGUUGAGGCCCGAAGGCGUGGGGAGCAAACAGGAUUAGAUACCCCAGUAGUC